rnacentral:sRNA from 1 species
AAAAGAAACCAUCAAA